AUGUUGUCUUACCCCAAUGUCCCAGCAUCAUUCCCUGGAGAUGAAUUGGUGUUCUCUCCAAUGAAUUUACUCCAGAGGCCAUCUCCUGAAGUUGUUUCAGAUUCUUCAGAAACUGCCAGGUUGGCAUUAAAAGAUGUGGCUACUCAAAAACUUCUUACUGCAGUGACAGAGCUGUCCAAGGAGGUGAAGGACCUGUGGGAGGAAUUUAGGCAAUUCCACCAGUCCUGCAGGUGUGGACAAUUGGAGUCUGUGGUACAGCCACUGUCGGAGCCCUUGGAGCUGCCCUUCCACACCAUGGAGGCCCUGGACCAUGCAGAAGAGACACUGUUAAAUGGCACAAACCGACAGGCAAUGGUAGUUUUAGUUACAUCAUUAUUCUGUCAGAAAACUUCACUGAUAUGCACAACUUCCUUAAACUGCCUGACCUUUAUGACAGUAGACUCAUGGGUUAAUUUCACAUUUCACAUUUCAAUAUCUCCUAAAAACUGCUGUUUUUUCAGUAUGCCUUUAUCAAUCCAAGUUACAUUCAGACUGAAAAAAAUAAUUCUGCACAGACCAAAUUGGCUGAAAAUUAUGUUCGAUCUUGAAGCACUGUAUAGAGGGGUGUUUCACCAAAGCGGAAUCAAGAAAUCCAAGACCUUGAGCUGUUUUUACUCUGGAGUUACAUAAGGUCACUGUAGCUAGCUUUGCACUGUUGAAAGCCCACACCAUUCAUUUCCUAUGGCUGUGCUACAUGACUAUAAGAAAGGGAGUCAUAAGCAGAUUGUGCAUUAGCCUACAUCUGAGAUAUUAUGAGCUGUUGACUGUAAUGGCAAUACAUAUUUGCCGUGAUCAACAAAUACUUUUUGGUCUCCUGAUGCCUUAUUUUUGCGUGCUUUAACCAUCCAGCUACAGUCUGUAGAUGACGGGAGAGUACGCUGUGGCAGGGGAGGGACAGACAUUAAGGGACAAAUACAUUGCGUUUACUGCUAAAAUAUAGGAGAUUGGUGAGGAAGAAGAAGAAUGUCAGUAACCAGACAGUUUUUGGUCCCAUUGACUUCCAUAGUAGGAAAAAAUGUACAGUCGUGGCCAAAAGUUUUGAGAAUUACAUAAAUAUUAGUUUUCAAAAAGUUUGCUGCUAAACUGCUUUUAGAUCUUUGUUUCAGUUGUUUCUGUGAUGUACUGAAAUAUAAUUACAAGCACUUCAUACGUUUCAAAGGCUUUUAUCGACAAUUACAUGACAUUUAUGCAAAGAGUCAGUAUUUGCAGUGUUGGCCCUUCUUUUUCAGGACCUCUGCAAUUCGACUGGGCAUGCUCUCAAUCAACUUCUGGGCCAAAUCCUCACUGAUAGCAACCCAUUCUUUCAUAAUAACUUCUUGGAGUUUGUCAGAAUUAAUGGGUUUUUGUUUGUCCACCCGCCUCUUGAGGAUUGACCACAAGUUCUCAAUGGGAUUAAGAUCUGGGGAGUUUCCAGGCCAUGGACCCAAAAUUUCAACAUUCUGGUCCCCGAGCCACUUAGUUAUCACUUUUGCCUUAUGGCACGGUGCUCCAUCGUGCUGGAAAAUGCAUUGUUCUUCACCAAACUGUUGUUGGAUUGUUGGAAGAAGUUGCUGUUGGAGGGUGUUUUGGUACCAUUCUUUAUUCAUGGCUGUGUUUUUGGGCAGAAUUGUGAGUGAGCUUCGAUGUUCGAUGUUGAUUCAAUUACUUAAUGUUGACAACGGAAUAUUGAUUCAGCAUAGUUUCAAUGACUGUUUGCUAUCUGGGUAUGUACCAGGAGCACCUUAAAAAAAAAAACAAAUUCCUUGUGUGUUUGUGCACACCUGACGAAUAAAGCUAAUACUGAUUCUGAUACUGAUAUCAGAUCAGAUGAAUCUGUAAUAUGACACAUUUGCUUUGAAUUAUUUUUAUUGUAAUAUCAGUUUGAUUAUUUUGGUGGUACCCUUUAGAUAGCUGUUGAUAAGUAUCUCUGCAACAACUAGCAGUCAUUAGAGUAUUAUGCUGCGUUCACACCAAACGUGAAUGGAGCGUCUGGCGCGAAUGAUUUCAAUGUUAAGUCAAUGUAAAGAUGCGUUUACACGCGUCUGGAGGUCUCGUGGCGCGAAUGAGGCGUUUAGCGCGGCGCGGAAGACGCAAAUUCGACUCAUUCACGCGAAUGGUGCUUUUUAUGUGCAUUUACGCGUUUGACGCGAAUUCGCGUCUGACGCCCGAGUUGAAAAAUUUGAACUUUGGCGUAAAUUCGCGCCGCGUUAACCAAUCAGGAGCCUGCUUGCUGCUGUGGCGGCAGGCCCGCCCAGAGUCACUCAUUCAACAUAGAGGAACAACUGAUAUUAUCAGUGAGCAGUCACCCGGAGCUAUAUGACACAAGUUCAUACUUCUAUAGAGACAGGAAUAAAAAGGACCUCGCUUGGAAGAGUGUCGGUGAGGAGAUUGGGCAACCUGGUAAGUUGUAAAUACACAUUUCACUUCUGAGUCACGUACACGUUUAUCAACCCGCGGCCUUCCCGCUGUUUUUUACAACUAUUUUCCCCCUAAUAUACAGCCACUUUUCGCUAACAAGAUAAUGUGUUUAUUCAGAGGACGUGUGCAGGAAAAAGUGGAAAAGCCUCAGGGACAUGUACCUGAAGGAGAAGAGGAAGGAGAUGGAGAAGAGGAGUGGGUCAGCAGCAGGGUCAGUGAAGAAGUUGAAGUACUCACAGAUCCUGGGAUUCCUCGACCCCUUCGUCACCCCACGGGAGACCACCAGGGGGACUGGGUUCGAGGCCCUGGUCAUAGAGUACAACCACCCCAGGGACCAGGGAGAGGGAGAGGCGGAAGCAGGGGAUACGGAAACAGGUGAGUUUUCCAAUUAAGCCAAUUUCCAAGACAUAUAUGCUGUCAUUGUGUACAGAUGAAGAGUAUAAUGUAAUCUCUCUAUGACUAUUGUUACCAACGUGUUGUAUUAACAUAAAGUAUUGUCUUGACAGAGCCUACAGAUAAUGAAGAGGCUGAUCCUAGAUCCCCUGCCGCUUCUCCUGUCUCCCCAGUCCCUGGUCCUUCACCCCCUGCUGCUGCACCCACAGGUGUGUGAGGGCAAUAGUACAAACAAUAUCUGAACAUGUUACGUGCAGAAAACACCAGUACAGUAUCCACUCAUAGCUUUAACAUUCACAUAAAGGCAAAACAAUUUGUGAAUUAGUCCCUUUACUAAUAAUCAUUGUAUUUGUAAAUGCAGACUCAAUUCUAUUGCAAUGUAUGCCACCAAUCAUCUGCAUACAUACUUUUUAACUACUGUUCCUUUACAUGUUUAUCUUCCUGAUGUUUAUAUGUCUGAAGUAUAACUUUAAUUAUGUAAAAUAUGUUAAAGCAAGUUCAAGACAAUUUCACACUUGUAUUUAAGCACUGGCUAUGUCACUCACACAGGCACAGAUAUUAUUCUCCCAAUAUCUAGACAAUUUUGUUAUUUCAAUUAUCAUCUUUCUGUCUUCUCAUAGCACUGUGUGUUGUAUUUUUGAUUUCACAGGCCAACAGAGGAGGAGAGGCACCCGGCGUCACCGUGAUGGUCAGUCGGAGGUGGAGCAGACGCUGUUUGCUCCUUAGGUGUCCUCCUCCAGCCCCACCCAACCAGCUCCACUCAACCAG
ensembl:lncRNA